UCGCUCUUUUGCUGCUGCCGCAGUAUUGCUUUUGUCUUUUGAAAAUAUGCUAAUUUUCUGCAUACGUGGUCAUUAAUAUUUCCAACUCCACUGGAGACAAGUAGGAGGAUCGAGGCUUUUUUUCACCUGUUGACAUGGUGGAUCAUGUUAUCUGUGUUCCAUUGAUGAGGGCUUUUUAUAUCCUCAUGCACGAGCUUCACUCAGGGUAACCUUGACUCAGAGUUUGACAGCUCAGAGUUGGUCAACCUAGAGUUCAGGUUUUGACUCAGAGUUUGUUAAACUUGCUUCCUGAAACAGGCCCCAGAUCAGGGCUGUGGAUUUUGUUUUUGUACUUGCCAUCAUCCCCAUUAUGGCCUUUAAGGGCUUCCAUAGCUGUCUGAAGAGGAGGGAUAACCCUUCCAUUUCUUCCUUUUUAAUGGAGCUUUAUCAAUGUUUGGACCUAAUGUGAGAUUGAAUUUACCGGUAAUAUCUUAAUGUCUCUCAAACAUACAACCAAAGCAAGGAAUAUAAAAUAAAUACAUUCAAAAUGUAUUAUUAUAAAUAUAUUCAAAUGAACACAUGCUUGUCACAGGAGGAGCUGAAUUGCAGCACCGCUGAAGAAAGCUAAUUGGAGCUGAUCAACAACAGCUGUGCCACAUGCAUUUAUUAGUGGCACAGGUAACAUUUCCUGUUGGUGACUGAUGCAAUGGGAGCUAUUUGGGCCUUCUUUGUUUGUGUCCUGACUGUUUGUCUUGCCAAAGGCUCUUGUUUGCCAAUUGGUGGGACAAAUAAAAGGAAUGAUCAUGCGCUUUGGAGGAAGAUGGAAAAUUUUUCUCCCAGUGAGCUCUUAUUAAAGAAGGCCAUUGCACUUCUCCAGGCAAUGGAGCCCAUGCUGGUGCAGGAAGCUAAAGAAGCAGGCGGCCUCCACACCAUCCGCAGCAGGACUGCUGCCGAUGGCGCCAGCACCCAGAACAACGGCAGGCGCAUCGCGGCAGAUGGUGCCGGCAUCUUUGCAGGAAUUGGCGCCGGUAAUGAUGGGGGCAUCUUCGCAGGCAUUGGCACCGGCAAUGAUGGCGGCAUCUUUGCUGGCAAUGACGGCGGCAUCUUUGCCGGCAAUGCCGGCGGCAUCUUCGCCGGCAAUGAUGGCGGCAUCUUCGCCGGCAACGACGGUGGCCUCUUCGCUGGCAAGGGCGUGAUCUUCACCGGCAAGGGGGCCCGCAAAGGCGGAAUCUUCGCCGGCAAUGGCGCUGGCAAUGGCGCCAGCAAUGGUGGCACCUUUGCCGGCAAAGUCUUCUCCUCUGGCAAAUUUCCCUCCAGCAACUUUGUGGCUGACAGCGGCGGCAGCAGAUACAAUAGCGGCAUCAGCAGUGCUGCAGGCAAUGAUGGCACCAUGUUCGUCGACGACGAUGGCACCAUCUUUGUUGGCAACGAUGGCGGCAUCUUCGACGGCAAGGGCGGAAUCUUCGCUGGCAACGGCAUCGGCAACGGUGUCGGCAAGGGCCGCAUCUUCGUCGGCAAGGGCAUUGGCAAGGGCGGCAUCUAUGCCGGCAACGGCAAGGGCGGCAUCUACGUCGGCAACGGCAUUGGCAAGGGCGGCAUCUUCGCUGGCAAUGGCGGCUAAUCUCCUCUGGCAACAAAUUUCCUUUCGGCAAAUUCGCGUCUGACAGCGGCAGCAACAACUACAGCAACCGCAUCCAUAGCACAGCGUCCGACAGCGCAGCAGUGGCAGCCACAGCCACAGCGCAGCCAACAGCGGCGGCAUCUUCCCCAGCAUCGACGGCAGUGAUGCCGGCCUCUUCCCCGAAAAUGUCAUCAACUGCAGCAGUAACGUGGCCACUACCACCGGACUCCAGAACUGAUCACAAUCUCCUGUGACCACACCGCUAAAGUAGGGAAUAGGUUUGUGGAAUCAUCCAGGAGUUCAGUUGAAGACAUUUCUGUAUGUCCCAAGUUUUCUGCUUUAAAUAAAAUGAUUGGAAACUUGGUGUUGUUUGCAAGCAUUUUGAGACCUUAUGGCCAGUUAGUGUUACUUAGUUUCUUAGUGUUACUAAGGUAACCCCAAAACAGUAUUAUACAGUUGGAUUUCUUUUUCAAAAUCACUGAUAUUUUCUCGUACAAUCCUAAUGUGUUCCCUCUGUUUUAAUGGCUUUGUGUUUUUAAAGAUUUAAAUCUGUGCAAGCACAAAUGCCUUAGCAAUGGGUAAUGCUACUCCAUGAAAGCAAGAAGUCAUUUUAUUUUGUAUUGCUAAAAUUCAAAAUGGACCGGAUAAUGCCAUAAAUUUCAUUUUAUGAACUGUAAGUAUAAAACAUCUGUCACUACAUUAUUUUUAUUACACCAUUGAUACAGAGACUUGCAUUGUAAUUGUUUAUUGAUAAUGGUGUCCAUGAUAAAGAAUAUAGGGUUAAAUGACAGUAUGCCUAUUUUGAUUUUUAUUUUUAUUUUUCAAUGUGUACAAUAUGAAUUUGGUAAAAUAUCACAUUUGGCUGUAGAUGUUUUCACAACAGAAUUGCAGAGAGAGGCUGAUGCUGUUGUUGCCAUUUGCUGUGAUGAUAUCACGGGUAUUGGAGAUGGAGUUAAGUAAAGAUGAAGGUUUAACAUGAAAAUGGCAUGUGCCUAGAAAACAAAUACACACUGCAGAUGCUUUGUAUGGAGCCGUUUUGCAUUUCUUGGCUGUAGUUUUUCUCUCUGCAUUUGUUUUGCAGUUGCUGUUUGCUUCCAUCCAUGUGGAAUUUAUGUCAAUCUUUUGGUUCCUCAGCCUUUACUGACUAAAUAUGAGGUGAAUCUGGCUUAUCUAUUUAAAGUUAUUGGUAAGAGUAUAGACUCCUGUUGCCAACAGGCGGCAAUAAAACUAUGCCUGAAAAAUACCAUGGACAUGUACAUGCUAUUUUUCAGAUACAGCACAUCAAGUGUAACAUGCGAGUUCAAUGUGUGUUGGUUUGAGCACUCUUAAGGAUAAAGAAGAGCAGGAUGGAGAUGGACAAUUUCCUUAGGCAGCACAUUACUUUUUACCACUUCAGCUUAACAACAAUAGCAACCACAUGUCCUUGUUCUGACUCACAUGUGAAUGACCUAACCAAUCAGAAGCUAGAGGGACUGAUGUAAACGUACGGUAACCCGAUUCAACAUAUUAUUGUAGCUGUCUUAUCUGUGCUUCUGAAAAGACUUAAACAUGAAAAUAUGUAAAUAACUGUAAACAUGAACAAGUAAAUAGUUACCUGUGUAAACAUUACCAUUUAAAAUAAAUAAAAAUAACUCAAGAA
rnacentral:lncRNA from 1 species